AGAGUUUGAUCCUGGCUCAGGAUGAACGCUAGCUACAGGCUUAACACAUGCAAGUCGAGGGGAAACGAUAUUGGAAGCUUGCUUCCGAUAGGCGUCGACCGGCGCGCGGGUGAGUAACGCGUAUCCAACCUGCCCACCACUUGGGGAUAACCUUGCGAAAGUAAGACUAAUACCCAAUGACGUCUCUAGAAGACAUCUGAAGGAGAUUAAAGAUUUAUCGGUGAUGGAUGGGGAUGCGUCUGAUUAGCUUGUUGGCGGGGUAACGGCCCACCAAGGCAACGAUCAGUAGGGGUUCUGAGAGGAAGGUCCCCCACAUUGGAACUGAGACACGGUCCAAACUCCUACGGGAGGCAGCAGUGAGGAAUAUUGGUCAAUGGGCGAGAGCCUGAACCAGCCAAGUAGCGUGCAGGAAGACGGCCCUAUGGGUUGUAAACUGCUUUUAUAAGGGAAUAAAGUGAGUCUCGUGAGACUUUUUGCAUGUACCUUAUGAAUAAGGACCGGCUAAUUCCGUGCCAGCAGCCGCGGUAAUACGGAAGGUCCGGGCGUUAUCCGGAUUUAUUGGGUUUAAAGGGAGCGUAGGCCGGAGAUUAAGCGUGUUGUGAAAUGUAGACGCUCAACGUCUGCACUGCAGCGCGAACUGGUUUCCUUGAGUACGCACAAAGUGGGCGGAAUUCGUGGUGUAGCGGUGAAAUGCUUAGAUAUCACGAAGAACUCCGACUGCGAAGGCAGCUCACUGGAGCGCAACUGACGCUGAAGCUCGAAAGUGCGGGUAUCGAACAGGACUAGAUACCCUGGUAUUCCACGCCGUAAACGAUGAUGGCUAACCGCCGGCGACACACUGUCGGUGGCCAAGCGAAAGCGAUAAGCCAUCCACCUGGGGAGUACGUCGGCAACGAUGAAACUCAAAGGAAUUGACGGGGGCCCGCACAAGCGGAGGAACAUGUGGUUUAAUUCGAUGAUACGCGAGGAACCUUACCCGGGCUCGAACGGCACCUGGAUCGCCCAGAGAUGGGCGAGUCUUCGGACAGGUGUCGAGGUGCUGCAUGGUUGUCGUCAGCUCGUGCCGUGAGGUGUCGGCUCAAGUGCCAUAACGAGCGCAACCCCUGCCGCCAGUUGCCAUCAGGUGAUGCUGGGCACUCUGGCGGGACUGCCACCGCAAGGUGUGAGGAGGGGGGGGAUGACGUCAAAUCAGCACGGCCCUUACGUCCGGGGCGACACACGUGUUACAAUGGCGGCCACAGAGGGAAGCUACCCCGCGAGGGGAUGCGGAUCUCGAAAAGCCGUCCCAGUUCGGACUGGAGUCUGCAACCCGACUCCACGAAGUUGGAUUCGCUAGUAAUCGCGCAUCAGCCAUGGCGCGGUGAACACGUUCCCGGGCCUUGUACACACCGCCCGUCAAGCCAUGGAAGCCGCGGGCGCCUGAAGUCCGUGACCGUAAGGAGCGGCCUAGGGCGAGAGUGGUAACUGGGGCUAAGUCGUAACAAGGUA
rnacentral:rRNA from 1 species